GGGUAGGCGGUGCAGGUGAGGGGGUCUUGCUGCAGUUCUUUGUGUAUCUGAGGCCCUUGAAGGAAAUCCUUCAGGAUUCUGCCUCGGAAGGAGCCAUAUGAUCAUGGAGUAACAUGUCAGGAGCUGUUAGAUGAAAUCAUGCUGGCUGUAUAUAGCAGUCUUGCUGCAAGAUCUUGGACACUUUUCACACACUGAACUUCAGAGGCUCAGGCUGUGGGGGUUUUUCUUGGAUCUCAGAGGAUGACAAGAUAAGGCUGUGUGUACAACUUCAGGCUUGGAGGCCAUUAGUGGGAUCUGAUGGGUGCCUCCCAGUCUCCUAUAACAAAAAAAAAGUGUGUGCCAAACUUCAGAGUACAGAUAGUGAUAAAAUAAGGGAAGGUUCAAAGCAGACAUAAGGUUUGGUUGUAGGUGGAGCAGACUCUCCCACUCUCACUGUGCUGCCUGUGUAAACCACAGACUAAUCUGUUAGGGUCCUGCAGACCCCAGUAGGAAAUACUUUCUUUCUCCCCUCUCAUCCACACCUCUUCUCCUCAUCACCACAGAUCCAUCACCCUAUGGCCCACAGACUUCUUCUGGGCUUGAGAAACAUUUCAUGGACUCCCAAAGAUGAAAAACAAAUCUGUUGAUGACAGACUAGGAUUUGUUAAUAGGACUAUGGUCUGCUGAGUGUACAGGCCUACCUGUACAUAUUAUAUGCGUUGCUUUCUUUCUGAAAAAUAGCAAAGGUAACUUAUCUGUAAUUGUAAUCACAGCAUUUCUUCUCAUUAUCUUAAAAGUAUUGCUACAACACACUUCUUUUCUUGCCUGUGCCUUGGAUCUGAAUCCAAUACAGGUCAGUCUAGCGUCACGUUUAUAGAUAUUCCUGAUUAGUUCUUAGCUUUCAUUACUGAUCCUAUUGACAUGGGCCAUAUCUGUAAAUUAAUUUGCAUUGAAUAAAUGAAAACAAGGAAAAGUUGGGGAAAUUAAAUCCCACCAAAAUCAAACAGCUUGCAGAGUGUGGUGCCUAGAACAUUUUGUGUUGGCCUUGUGCAUAAAGACUUGAGAAUGCAACAGCUAUUACAUGUCAUUCAGCAAUUUCCUGUAUGAGUCAGUAAAAAAGUAUUUAUCCUGAAGAAACUGGCAGAAACCUGAGG
ensembl:lncRNA